rnacentral:rRNA from 1 species
UACGUAGGGGGCAAGCGUUGUCCGGAAUCAUUGGGCGUAAAGCGCGUGUAGGCGGCUUCGUAAGUCCGUUGUGAAAGUCCAGGGCUCAACCCUGGAAUGCCGAUGGAUACUGUGGAGCUAGAGUCCGGAAGAGGCGAGUGGAAUUCCUGGUGUAGCGGUGAAAUGCGCAGAUAUCAGGAGGAACACCAAUGGCGAAGGCAGCUCGCUGGGACGGUACUGACGCUGAGACGCGAAAGCGUGGGGAGCAAACAGG